rnacentral:rRNA from 1 species
GACGAACGCUGGCGGCGUGCCUAAUACAUGCAAGUCGAACGCAUUUUCUCUCACCGUUGCUUGCUACACCGAAAGAAAACGAGUGGCUAACGGGUGAGUAACACGUGGGUAACCUGCUCAUCAGCGGCGGAUAAAACGUGGAACCAGGUCCUAAUACCGUAUAACUCCAUUUUCCGCAUGGUAGAUGGGUUAAUGGCUCUUUUGCGUAUCUGCUCGCUGGACCCGAGGUGCAUUAGCUAGUUGGUGGGGUCCCGGCCUGCCAAGGCUGCGAUGCAUAGCCGGCCUGAGUGGGAGGGCGGACGCACAGAGAGUGAGACACGGCCCAGACUGCUACGGGAGGGAGCAGUAGGGAAGCUUCGGCGAUCGACGGGAGUCUGACCGAGCAAGGCCGGGUGAGUGAAGGAGGUUUUCGGAUCGUAAAACUCUGUUGUUAGAGAGGGACGAGGAUGAGAGUGGAAAGUUCAUCCCUUGACGGUAGCUAACCAGAAAGCCACGGCUAACUACGUG